UACGGAGGGUGCGAGCGUUGUCCGGAAUCACUGGGCGUAAAGGGCGCGUAGGCGGCCGAGCAAGGUCGCGGUGAAAGUCCAGGGCUCAACCCUGGGAUGCCGGUGGAUACUGUCGGGCUCGAGUCCGGAAGAGGGAUGCGGAAUUCCAGGUGUAGCGGUGAAAUGCGUAGAUAUCUGGAGGAACACCGGUGGCGAAGGCGGCAUCCUGGACCGGCAUUGACGCUGAACAGCGAAAGCCAGGGGAGCAAACGGG
rnacentral:rRNA from 1 species